rnacentral:rRNA from 1 species
UACGUAGGGGGCUAGCGUUGUCCGGAAUCAUUGGGCGUAAAGCGCGUGUAGGCGGUUCGGUAAGUCGGAUGUGAAAUCUCGGAGCUUAACUUCGAAACUGCAUUCGAUACUGCCGUGCUUGAGGACUGGAGAGGAGACUGGAAUUUACGGUGUAGCGGUGAAAUGCGUAGAUAUCGUAAGGAAGACCAGUGGCGAAGGCGGGUCUCUGGACAGUUCCUGACGCUGAGGCACGAAGGCCAGGGGAGCAAACGGG